GUGAUCUGGUAAAGACUCCGGAGCUGGUGACUGCAAGUGUGUGUGGGAAUCCCGGUGGCUGCCUGGCCACUGCCCUCUUGAUGCAUCUUCAUCCAUUAUAGCCGGUACUCAGUCUCACAGCUGAGCCUGGUCCUGGCCCAGCUGAAACUGGUGAAAUGAAGUCUGAAGUCAACAUGGAGGCAAGUCUAGAGGCCACAUAGCUUUUCUCACUCCAGAUGGACCACAUACCAACAGCAAGCAAUACCCGGGUUGAGGACGGCACAAGGCUACACUCCUGUCUCUGUGUCUUG